rnacentral:lncRNA from 1 species
CCUAAGUCUUGGAAAGACACAUGAUGAACUUCCAGGAAAUGAGUAAUUUUCUCUAUGGUUUUCUUUGCAUAGCUAAUGCUCUGCUAUAUAGAAGUUGAGAUGUGAAACCUGUUUUGAUUAAUACUGAAUUUUCUGGAAGAUGGUCUUCUCCAAACUACAUGUUACCUAAACUGAGUAGAAGGUUACCUAGGGUGAAACAAAAUUACAGGAUUGGAAACUCUGGAAAAGCUCAGCAUCAGCAUUUGAGAGCCAAAGCUUGCAAAUUAUGUGAUUAAUCUACAAGCUGAUAUCAUGAUGUCAAAAUGCAGUUCGGGAAGCAUAAAUACAGAAGUUGCAGAAAUUAAAACGAAGCUUAGGAGGAACAUGCCAGAAAUUUCGGUCGUUUACUGUACCAUGCUCACAGAAGUCUUUCAGAAGCAGAUCAUUCAAACAGAGAACCUCAAUUAAGCUGUGCUGGAACAAAAAUGCAAUGA